rnacentral:rRNA from 1 species
CGUGUAGGCGGCCGAAUAAGUCAGAUGUGAAAUCCCUGGGCUUAACCCAGGACGUGCAUUUGAAACUAUUCGGCUGGAGUAGGGGAGAGGAAAGUGGAAUUCCUGGUGUAGAGGUGAAAUUCGUAGAUAUCAGGAGGAACACCGGUGGCGAAGGCGACUUUCUGGCCCUAUACUGACGCUGAGACGCGAGAGCGUGGGUAGCAAACA